AUAUAGGGCAAUCUGUCAUUAAAUAGGACUAAGUUAUUCUUUUGAAAAUACUAGCUUUCCCUUCAAGUCAAGCAUCUUGU
rnacentral:pre_miRNA from 1 species